rnacentral:lncRNA from 1 species
UCAACUAACCCUUGUAUACUAGCAUUUACGUUAUGUAUUUACUGUACAACUCACUAUUUUAAUAAGAAAUCAUCACUUGGAAAGUUCGUAUUUUUAGAUUUUUGUAACCCUAAUCGGGGUAAGUGAGGUAACAAAAUGAUAAAACACUAUUGCAUACCCAUCGGGGGUGUGUAAGAUCCUUAAACAUGGCUUAACGGGGUUUACGGACCUUGCAUUGCGAAGCCAAACACUCAAAAAGGUCAUAAACAAAUCCUCUCCCAAUCUCUUUCACUCUAUUUCUCUCUCUCUCUAUUAAAAAUCUCUCCCAAAUCUCUCUCAAAAGUUCCUUUAACUUUUUGUAAUCAUUCGGGUCAUCCCGACCCUUAACCGGGUCAAAAGCCACUUAAAACGGGGUAAAAAUGGGUAAAAUAGCCUUAAGGAACCGAAACCUUCUCUUAUGGGGUGAACCCACUUAAGAACCGAAGUCCUCUAUAGGGACCGAACCUGCUAAGGACCGAGACCUAAGGGACCGAACUGCUCAAAACCGAAACAGUAUGGACCGAACCCGAAACCUCCUCCUUCGGACCGAACCUCCCCUUCGCCUUCGCCACUUCCCCCUUCGCUCCAUUUUGGCCUAGUUAGCCUUUGGGCCCAACAGCANAAAUCUUGAUUCAAUGCUUGCUAGAUGUGAGAAAACCAACUUGGUCCUAAAUUGGGAAAAGUGUCACUUCAUGGUCAAGGAGGGUAUAGUUUUGGGACAUAAAGUUUCUAAAAAGGGAAUAGAGGUGGAUCAGGCAAAGAUAGACACCAUUGCAAAAUUACCCCCACCAACUAAUGUGAAGGGCAUUAGAAGUUUUUUGGGACACGCAGGUUUUUACCGGCGUUUUAUAAAAGAUUUUUCCAAAAUCACGAAACCUCUAACACAAUUAUUACUAAAAGAUGCANCGCCUUCGCCACUUCCACCUUCGCUCCAUUUUGGCCUAGUUAGCCUUUGGGCCCAACAGCAGCAGCGACCGAACCUUCGGUC